rnacentral:rRNA from 1 species
UCGUAACAAAGGUUUCCGUAGGUGAACCUGCGGAAGGAUCAUUACCACACCAAAAAAAUAUCCACGUGAACGUACUCUUUAUGAAGCCAUGUCGGGCCAAAAGCUCGUAGGCAGAAGGUUUCGCAAGAAGCCGAUGUGAUUUCAUCCCUUUUAAUAAAUGACUGAUAGAGAUAGCCAUCAGAAAUGAUCGCUUGUAAUAAAAUACAACUUUCAACAGUGGAUGUCUCGGCUCGCACAUCGAUGAAGAGCGCGGCGAACUGCGAUACGUAAUGCGAAUUGCAGAAUUCAGUGAGUCAUCGAAAUCUUGAACGCAUAUUGCACUUUCGGGUUAGUCCUGGAAGUAUGUCUGUAUCAGUGUCCGUCGACACCAAAUUGUUUGAUCAUGUGAGUGAUGGAACAGAAUGUGAGGGUCUUGUUUCGGCAAGUCCUUUUAAAAGAGAGUCCCUCGCUUGAUGUUUUGUGCAUUAAUUAGAGGACUGUUUGGAUCUUGUUUCGGCAUUAUUUUGUGUUGCGACUGCACACUGGCUGAAGGGAGAUUAAAUUGCGGUAGUUUUGCUUGUGUUUCGGCACGGGUGAACAUUUUAUUGCAUUUUAAUUCGACUGGAGGGUAGUUGUGGUGGCGGAUGAAAUAGAGGCAAGAGCUAAAUAGUCUGGUGCGCUAGACGCAAGUCGAGAAGCAAAUGGGAAUAAAUAUCCAAUUUGGACCUGAUAUCAGACAAGACUACCCCGCCUAAAUAAUGGC